GACAGAGGUGCCAAGCGUUAGGCGGAAUCACUGGGCUUAAAGCGUGUGUAGGCGGACUUGUAAGUACCUUGUGAAAUCCCACGGCUCAACCGUGGAACUGCUUGGUAUACUGCUUGUCUUGAGCCACUUAGGGGCUACCGGAACAAAUGGUGGAGCGGUGAAAUGCGUAGAUAUCAUUUGGAACGCCAAUGGUGAAAACAGGUAGCUGGGAGUGUGCUGACGCUGAGACACGAAAGCCAGGGGGGCGAACGGG
rnacentral:rRNA from 1 species